GAGAGGAGCUUGCUCUUCUUGGAUGAGUUGCGAACGGGUGAGUAACGCGUAGGUAACCUGCCUUGUAGCGGGGGAUAACUAUUGGAAACGAUAGCUAAUACCGCAUAACAAUGGAUGACACAUGUCAUUUAUUUGAAAGGGGCAAUUGUUCCACUACAAGAUGGACCUGCGUUGUAUUAGCUAGUAGGUGAGGUAAUGGCUCACCUAGGCGACGAUACAUAGCCGACCUGAGAGGGUGAUCGGCCACACUGGGACUGAGACACGGCCCAGACUCCUACGGGAGGCAGCAGUAGGGAAUCUUCGGCAAUGGGGGCAACCCUGACCGAGCAACGCCGCGUGAGUGAAGAAGGUUUUCGGAUCGUAAAGCUCUGUUGUAAGUCAAGAACGGGUGUGAGAGUGGAAAGUUCACACUGUGACGGUAGCUUACCAGAAAGGGACGGCUAACUACGUGCCAGCAGCCGCGGUAAUACGUAGGUCCCGAGCGUUGUCCGGAUUUAUUGGGCGUAAAGCGAGCGCAGGCGGUUUGAUAAGUCUGAAGUUAAAGGCUGUGGCUCAACCAUAGUUCGCUUUGGAAACUGUCAAACUUGAGUGCAGAAGGGGAGAGUGGAAUUCCAUGUGUAGCGGUGAAAUGCGUAGAUAUAUGGAGGAACACCGGUGGCGAAAGCGGCUCUCUGGUCUGUAACUGACGCUGAGGCUCGAAAGCGUGGGGAGCGAACAGGAUUAGAUACCCUGGUAGUCCACGCCGUAAACGAUGAGUGCUAGGUGUUGGAUCCUUUCCGGGAUUCAGUGCCGCAGCUAACGCAUUAAGCACUCCGCCUGGGGAGUACGACCGCAAGGUUGAAACUCAAAGGAAUUGACGGGGGCCCGCACAAGCGGUGGAGCAUGUGGUUUAAUUCGAAGCAACGCGAAGAACCUUACCAGGUCUUGACAUCCCGAUGCUAUUUCUAGAGAUAGAAAGUUACUUCGGUACAUCGGUGACAGGUGGUGCAUGGUUGUCGUCAGCUCGUGUCGUGAGAUGUUGGGUUAAGUCCCGCAACGAGCGCAACCCCUAUUGUUAGUUGCCAUCAUUCAGUUGGGCACUCUAGCGAGACUGCCGGUAAUAAACCGGAGGAAGGUGGGGAUGACGUCAAAUCAUCAUGCCCCUUAUGACCUGGGCUACACACGUGCUACAAUGGUUGGUACAACGAGUUGCGAGUCGGUGACGGCGAGCUAAUCUCUUAAAGCCAAUCUCAGUUCGGAUUGUAGGCUGCAACUCGCCUACAUGAAGUCGGAAUCGCUAGUAAUCGCGGAUCAGCACGCCGCGGUGAAUACGUUCCCGGGCCUUGUACACACCGCCCGUCACACCACGAGAGUUUG
rnacentral:rRNA from 1 species